ensembl:lncRNA
CUUUUGAUGGUUAGCUUGUUAAGAAAUAUUCAGCUCUAGUCUGACCUGAUCUGGUUUCCCAUGGAAAAGAUCUGAUGUCGUUUGAAGGUUCCUAAAUGGAAUGCCAAUGACAAUUUGUUGUUGACGUUCUGCCGCCUCAGCCCUCAGAUGCUGCUGGUUGAUGUGCCGCUUUAGCUUCACCAAAUAAUCCUUGCAGCCACACUGCCUUGGAGCCAUCUGAUUAUGGACUGAAACCUCUACAAACUGUUCUCUACGUCCCUGGAACAUCCGACAAAUCCCUGACAAAAUCUUGAUGGUUUGUUUUGCACAACAGUAAUUGAUUUUUCUUUUAUCAUUUUGCAC